UCUAGAUCUAGUCUAGUAGUAGAGUAGUAGUCUAAGUCUAUUCCUAGUAAAUUAAUUAUUAAUUUAUAGAUCUAGAUCUAUUCUAGACCUAGGGCUAGGUCAAGUAGGUCUAGAGUCUAGUAAUGAUGAAGUUUAUCAGCUGAUGAAGCAGCCCCACCUCCAGCUAAUGUUCAAUGUAGAUCUAGAAUCUAGAACUAGUUUCAGUUUAGCUGUCUCUACAUCAUCUAGAUCUAAAUUAAUCUAAAUCUAAUCAGAUAGAGCCUGCUAGGCACUGAAACAGAACAAUUUCAGAUUUAUUUGUUCCACCAAGAAAUUUGGGUGUCAAACUAGACUUAGUCAGCACUGCAUCUAAUGAGCUGGAAUGUUGUUUUUUUUCAUUGACAAUGACAUUGUUGAAAGUCAGCAAAAUAAAUAGUUUCGGUUUCUUUCAGUUGUGUGAAAGAUUGUGCGUGCUGGGACAAACCUCACUGAGAACAAGAAGAAUUGAAGCGGCCUUAAUCAAGAGGGAAAUGAGGAAAGCUGCCCUGUCUGUCUGAUGCAUACACAUGCACAUGAGUUUUGGCAAAGUCUUCCGCUCUAGCAUUGGCUUGAUUAGCCACACCAGAUUCUGCCCUGUCUCAGGACUAGACCAGAACCAUCUCCCGAAAGAUUUGUCAACCUUGGUAUUGAGUUGCCCAAAGGUGUGUUGUUGUUUGGCCCUCCUGGAACUGGGAAGACUCUGUGUGCCCGUGCUGUGGCCAACAGAACUGAUGCUUGCUUCAUUAGAGUCAUCGGUUCAGAGCUUGUACAGAAAUAUGUGGGGGAAGGUUCCAGGAUGGUCAGAGAAUUGUUUGAAAUGGCUAGAGCUAAAAAAAAAAGCUUGUAUUAAUUCCUUUGAUGAAAUAGAUGCUGUUGGAGGUUUGAUGAUGGAGCUGGUUGAGAUAAUGAAGUACAGCGUACCAUGUUGGAACUGAUCAACCAGUUGGAUGGCUUUGACCCCAGGGGAAACAUCAAGGUGUUGAUGGCCACCAACUGGCCAGAUACUCUUGACCCAGCACUGAUGAGGCCUGGAAGACUUGACAGAAAAAUAGAGUUUGGAUUACCUGACCUUGAAGGCCGUACACAUAUAUUUAAAAUAUAUGCUUGAUCUAUGAGUGUAAAGAAAGAUAUUCCUUAUGCGCUGCUGGCUAGAUUAUGCCCAAACAGUACAGGGCCGUACACAUAUAUAUUUAAAAUACAUGCUAGAUCUAUGAGUGUAGAGAAAGAUAUUCGUUAUGAGCUGCUGGCUAGAUUAUGCCCAAACAGUACAGAUGUUCCUUCAGAGUUGAAAACAACUACAUUCUAGCUUGAACGUCCCACAAGAAGAUGUGGGGUGGCAGCAGGCAGGGGUCUAACCUAGGAUCAUGGAGACCACCAAACGAUAGUCCAGAGUGUAUAUGAUUGAUUGAGUAGACAAAGAAGGGAUGGAUUACUGGAGCUAAAAGAAGGCAUAAUUUAACAAUAGACUACUUUGGAUAUGGAAUGAGAGAGGCUAUAGUGUUGAUUAUAUAAAUAUGUAGGUCUCAGCUGGGGCUGCACAGCCACGGGAAAUACUGCAUUCCUAACUUAUCUUGGGACUUAUUAUAAAGGGUACAAAUGCACUUGGAGCUUUUGAUGGUGUUCUGUUCAAUGCAACUAUUCCCACAUCUCCAGCAGCUGGCUUUGCAGCUAUUGGCGCAGACAGCUAUGGCUUGGAUGAUUUUGAUAAUUAUCUGCUUUCGCUCUUCAAUGCCAUGUUGCAGUUAAUUCCUUGCCACUCCGGUACUGUGUGUGGUACAGAACCUACUUCACAUUUAUUUUUCUAAUUAGACAUUAAGCUUUCCAUGUGCUGAAAUUUAGCAUUGUAGAACGGGAAAUAAAUUGUCUAUGACAGUUCAAAGUGUGUAUACAUUUUUUUUGACGCACCCUGUAUAUAUAUUGUAUUCAGUGAUUUUUUUAUUUUACCAUUUUCUAAUAUUAGUUUGUUAGCUCAAUAACUAUUAAUCUUUUAGAUUGUUAUCUUUCGUAAUGUUAAGACUAGAAAACAAGAUCUCAAAAUUAUAUUUAGGACGAUGAUUACAAUUACUUAGUCAAUUACUUAGAUAAAAUAAUUAUAAAACAAAAGUUAUAUAAAGACAUAAUUAUACAAUGUUUAUGUUUUGUAUGUUCAUAAAAAUGUGUAUAGCAGUGUUAUGGAGUGUGUGUGUGUGUGGGUGUUUCCAAGGUAACCUUGAGAAAUUAGCGAUUGGUUGGUGGAUAUGCAGUGAGGAUGGUGAAAUUACAAAAAUGGUCUAGUGUAAUGCAAAUUACCCAGGGAUCUGAAACUGUACAGACAGGUUUUUUGUAGUGAGUUAGAUUUUGUUUAAAAUACCAUUUUAUAUUAUUGCUACUAGAUUUAUUUCAUUUCAUCUAGGUUAGUAUUAGGGUUAGUGUUAUGUUGUAAUAAAAGUUAUAUUUAGUUUUUUUUCAUAAAAAGAAGAUUUUUCAAGUUUCACAAUUAAAUAUAUAUAUAUAUCCAAGCAGUAGUUCUCACCAAACUUUCAUACACUGGCAGAACUACCUUAAAAAAAAUGUUCUGGUGUGGGUAGUAUAGAAGAAAUACUUAUCAUUCAACAGCUGUGAUGGGUUGGAAAAUUAUCCCACAUGGGGGGUGACUGCAUGCCAAAUGGUAUCUUCAAGGAUGGUGUAAGCUCCUGUAAGCACUAUAAAAUUUAAUUUAGGCACCUUUUUGCCAUAGAGGAAAGUAGGUUGUAAUAGGGUUUAUGAAAACACUGCACUCAUCUUUUAUCUUCAGCAUCAUUAUUAUUAUUAUUAAACUAUUACUCAAAUUUUGCUUUAUUUUGCCAUGUAGAGAUUUACUGCUGCUGGGGUGAACAAUGCUUAAAAAAAUACAAAUAUGCUGUGUUUUUACUUUGGCCCAGCGGUGGCUCCCACAUUUAUGUCUUUUGUAUUUUUCUAUACCAGUUCUGUUACUGUGCAAAUGCAAAAAAAAAAAAAAAAUACAAGUUGUUCCACUAUUGAUAUUUUUUAUACUAAUUUUUUAUUUAUGUUAUUAAUUAUUUAUUAUUAUCUAAGCAUCUGUUUGUAUUUGAGCUGGGUAACGAAUAUAGAUUCUUGAAUUUAAUUGUUGUUUGUUGCUUUCCUCACUUUUAAACUGUGACCAUGUAAAUUUUGUCUAGAUGGAGAAUGGUAAUGUCUUAGUGUUAAUGAUUAGAUUGAGAAUGGUAAUGUCUUAGUGUUAUUGAUUAGAUUGAGAAUGGUAAUGUUUUAGUGUCAAUGAUAACAGUGAGAAUGGUAAUGUCUUAGUGUUAUUGAUUAGAUUGAUAAUGGUAAUGUCUUAGUAUCAAUGAUUACAUUGAGAAUAGUAAUGUCGUAGUGCCAAUGAUAACAGUGAAAAUGGUAAUGUAUUAGUGUCAUUGAUUAGAUUGAGAAUGGUAAUGUCUAGUGUCACUGAUUAGAUUGAGAAUGGUAAUGUCUUAGUGUCAAUGAUAACAGUGAGAAUGGUAAUGUCUUAGUGUUAUUGAUUAGAUUGAUAAUGGUAAUGUCUUAGUAUCAAUGAUUACAUUGAGAAUAGUAAUGUCGUAGUGCCAAUGAUAACAGUGAAAAUGUUAAUGUAUUAGUGUCAUUGAUUAGAUUGAGAAUGGUAAUGUCUAGUGUCACUGAUUAGAUUGAGAAUGGUAAUGUCUUAGUGUCAAUGAUAACAGUGAGAAUGGUAAUGUCUUAGUGUUAUUGAUUAGAUUGAUAAUGGUAAUGUCUUAGUAUCAAUGAUUACAUUGAGAAUAGUAAUGUCUUAGUGCCAAUGAUAACACUGAGACAAUCAUUAGAUUGAGGAUGGUAAUGUCUUAGUGUCAAUGGUGUAACACUAUGAUUAGAGUGAAAUGGGUCUUACACAUUGUCAACCAAAGAGGUACCAUUUUUGAUCACGCGACCACAUUUUUUUUAGUAAGUUAGCGCCAUGAUGUAUCAAGAGACGGAGGUGUCUCUGUUUUAUGAAAUUGGAUUAAAUAAUAUGAGUACCUAAUUGGAGCUUUUUCUAUGGAUGUAGUUUGUAUUUGAUGUGAAAUAAUUCGUGAUGAUAUUUUAUGGCUGAGAUUGCCUACUUUCUGAACUAUUAUUUGAUGUAAUAAAUAUUUGUCUGCCA